rnacentral:rRNA from 1 species
GAAUAUUGCACAAUGGACGCAAGUCUGAUGCAGCAACGCCGCGUGGAGGAUGAAGGUCUUUGGAUUGUAAACUCCUUUUCUCAGGGAAGAGAAUGGACGGUACCUGAGGAAUAAGUCACGGCUAACUACGUGCCAGCAGCCGCGGUAAUACGUAGGUGGCAAGCGUUAUCCGGAAUUACUGGGCGUAAAGCGCACGCAGGCGGCUUAGCAAGUUCGACGUGAAAGCUCCCGGCUUAACUGGGAGAGGUCGUUGAAGACUGUUAGGCUUGAGGCAAUGAGAGGGGUGUAGAAUUCCCGGUGUAGUGGUGGAAUGCGUAGAUAUCGGGGGGAAUACCAGUGGCGAAAGCGGCACCCUAGCGUUAGCCUGACGCUCAUGUGCGAAAGCGUGGGGAGCGAA